AGAGUUUGAUCCUGGCUCAGGAUUAAUGUUGGUAGUAUGCUUAACACAUGCAAGUCGAGCGGAAAGUGUUAGUAAUAUCACUUUUAGCGGCGAACGGGUGAGUAAUGCUUAUCUUACCUACCAUUUAGCGGAGGACGUGUUAGAAAGGUCCUGCAAAGGAUUUUCUAACUAAUACUGCAUACUCUUUGGCUUCGGUCAAAGGAAAGGGAGCCUUCAGGCUCUCGCUAAUUGAUGGGGAUAAGUCGCAUCAGCUAGUUGGUGGGGUAAAGGCCUACCAAGGCUAAGACGCGUAGCCGGGCUGAGAGGCUGAUCGGCCACAAGGGAACUGAGACACGGUCCCUACUCCUACGGGAGGCAGCAGUGAGGAAUCGUCGACAAUGGGGGAAACCCUGAUCGCUGCAAUGCUGUGUGAAGGAUGAAGGUCUAUGGAUUGUAAACUUCUUUACUUGGAUGUACUCCUAAAAACUUGCAUCUGAGCAAAAAGUCACGACUAACUAUGUGCCAGCAGUCGCGGUAAGACAUAGGUGGCGAACGUUAUCCGGAAUUAUUGGGCGUAAAGGAUGCGUAGAUGGCAGAGUAAGUUACUGGUUGAUGUCAAACUCAAUUUGACGGAAGCUGGUAAUACUGUUUUGCUAGAGGACAGGAGAGGUUGAUGGAAUUCUGUGUGGAGCGGUGAAAUGCGUUGAUCUACAGAGGAACACCAAAAAAGGCGAAGGCAGUCAACUAUCCUGUUCCUGACAUUGAGGCAUGAAAGCGUGGGGAGCAAACCGGAUUAGAUACCCGGGUAGUCCACGCCCUAAACGAUGAGCAUUAGAUAUUAGGCAAUAUGCUUAGUGUCGCAGCUAACGCUUUAAAUGCUCCGCCUGGGGACUACGGCCGCAAGGCUAAAACCUAAAGGAAUUGACGGGGACCCGCACAAGCGGUGGAGCAUGUGGUUUAAUUCGAUACAACGCGCAGAACCUUACCAAGGUUUGACAUGGAGGGCAAAGUUGAGGAAACUCAACAGAGGUUAUCCCGACACAGGUGGUGCAUGGUCGUCGUCAGUUCGUGCUGUGAAGCAUAUGCUUAAGUGCUAUAACGAACGCAACCCUCGUAUUUAGUUGCUAUCAUUUAGUUGAGAACUCUAAAUAGACUGCUAAGGUAACUUAGAGGAAGGAGAGGAUGA
rnacentral:rRNA from 1 species